GGUUCAGUGGUGUAGUUGGUUAUCACAUCUGUCUCACAUUGGUGUUCACAGGAGGUCCCCGGUUCGAGCCCGGACUGAACCA